UACGGGGGGAGCAAGCGUUGUUCGGAUUUACUGGGCGUAAAGGGCGCGUAGGCGGCCACUGCAAGUCAGUUGUGAAAUCUCCGGGCUUAACCCGGAAAGGUCAACUGAUACUGCAGGGCUAGAGUGCAGAAGGGGCAACUGGAAUUCUCGGUGUAGCGGUGAAAUGCGUAGAUAUCGGGAGGAACACCUGAGGCGAAGGCGGGCUACUGGGCCGAUACUGACGCUGAUGCGCGAAAGCCAGGGGAGCGAACGGG
rnacentral:rRNA from 1 species